CUGCCGCACGUCGGCGGCGGUUCGAUUCCCAGCUCUCCUCUCCGUUUCCUUUUCUUUCUCACCCUCCCUUCUCCUUUGACGCUCAGACCAUCCUCCUCCCGCGCGUCGCGGCUCACCUGCGCCGGCGCGCCGCUCCCCCGCCGGCCGCGGCUGCCCACGACGGGUGCCGCUGCUGCCCUCCGCUCGAGGCCCGCGGCUGCCCCACGGCCCGGACGCGGCUCCCCAAGCCGGCCGGCGCAGAAGCUGCCUCGCCGGGCAUGGAUGCCCCUGCAGCUUCACUCACGGACGCGGCUGCUACGCUAGCCGGCCGCCGCUACAGCUCCUCUCGCCGCCCACGGCUGUCCGCUGCAGCUCACCUCGCACUGCGACUCCCCCAUGAGGCCCCCUCGACGCGUCGUCGUACCGCAGUCUCCAACACAUCCAGCCCGCCUUGGAUCUAGAUCAGUUGCUGUGCAAUAUGGAGGAGGAACCGGAAGUCACACCUCCUUCGAAAGCACUCCUGCAGAUCCUGCGCUGCUUUCCAUGUGCUUCCCUCGCCGUCAAGCUGUUCGAUGAAACGUUUAGCCCAUGCCUGCUUUAGUCAGGUACAUUCAGCUGUUUGGUAUGGAUCCGCAAGGGAUGAGGCAUUGAUGCCAGCUACGUGACUUCUUGUCUUUGUUCCAGGUAGGCGUAUGUAUUCUUUGUUAUUGCGAUUUCCCUAAGAACUUAGAAAAUUAUGCACCAAUUUAAUAGGUUUUGUAUGUGCCAAGUAAUAUCACCUGGAUUGCUUUUAUCCGUGAAAAUGAAUACACCUUCAGACAUAUGGUGUAAAAUUCUUGUGUAAUUCUAGCAAAAUCAUCUCUGUUCAGAUUGGUUGAUGAUAGAUUACCUUUAUCAAAUUCUUGGGAUGCAUAUGGUGAUGCCCAGUGCAAAUUAUCGUUUAACUUUUUAUUGAAACAUAAGCUGUUGCUUGAGAUUGGAGAGUAUGUGAUUCUGGUGUCUUGCGGCAACAUUGGUAGCUAAAAUUAUUUUAUUGGUCAAUUUACUUAUUAUUAAGGAAGGGAGUUACUUUGAUUUUUAUUGCGGCCAUGUCAAUGGUUCAGUGUAUUAGUACCUGUAUUGGUUUUGGAUUUUGAUUCUGCCAUAUUCUUGGUACAUGACCAAUUAUUAAUGUUUGAUGUCCUUAAUUCGUUGGUUCCUGCAUGCCAUGCACAUUACUGCCAAGAAGGGACAUGUUUUGGUAAACAAUCUCAAGGUGCUCGCCAACUUUGGUGUGGAGGCAAGGAAGAUGGUUAACCUUUUUGGUCCUCUUUGGUGCUCUUAUGGAAGAGAGAUGGUCCUAUGUCAAUCUUUUUUGUGAUCCUAGAUAGAUCCAUAGAGGUCCUUUUCUUGUGCAAGUUCAGCCAGCGUCAAUUUCCCUACCAUUGUUUAUACUGUCAAUUGGUUGCCUUCAGAAGAUGAGAAGAAAGAGAAAAGGUAUCAUUUCCUUCUGUGGAAACACAUUUUUCUAAUAUAUAUGUAUUUAUGAGGUGUUGGGAUCUGAUUGGAGCUGUAUCAGGGAGUCUCUCUCGGUGGAGGGAUUGGAAGCAUCUUAGACAUUUUAGAUGCAUCACAAAUGAUCUGAUUUGGCAUACCUAUGGUUAUUGUCAAAUGAAUGUUAAUAUGAAUAGUUAUGCUUCUAACUUAGGAUCCAAACCAUGCUGCUUGACAGCUUGUGUGACCGGUGCUCACUCUAUUGGUGAUGCUACACGGAUGAUUCAAUUUGGAGAUGCCGAUGUGUGAUGGCGGAUGGUGGAACAGAGUCCAGUAUCGAUGCUUUCUCUAUAGUUGGAUUUUCUAGGCAAUUAUGUUCUUGGUGCUUUGUUUUAUUUAUCUUUGAAAAUAGUAGUCUGUAUACUUUGGUGACUAUAAAUGGCUUGAAUGCUUUCAGUAACUGUAAUCAGGAGCAACUGUUAAGUGUGAGGAUUGUAGGAAGGCAUAGAGAAUCCACUUUUAUGUUCACAAAUAAACAUGUCUCAUAAAUAGCCUAUGCAGACCUGGUCACCUGCAUAUUUGUUGCCCACUGUUUCAUGAUUGAUAUGUAGCUCCAUUUCUUAUUA